rnacentral:rRNA from 1 species
UAAGGAAUAUUGGUCAAUGGACGCAAGUCUGAACCAGCCAUGCCGCGUGAAGGAUUAAGGCCCUCUGGGUUGUAAACUUCUUUUAUAGGGGAAGAAAUGUGACGGUUCUCCGUCACUUGACGGUACCCUGGGAAUAAGCACCGGCUAACUCCGUGCCAGCAGCCGCGGUAAUACGGAGGGUGCAAGCGUUAUCCGGAUUCACUGGGUUUAAAGGGUGCGUAGGUGGGCAGAUAAGUCAGUGGUGAAAUCUUCCGGCUUAACCGGGAAACUGCCGUUGAUACUAUUUGUCUUGAAUAUUGCGGAGGUAAGCGGAAUAUGUCAUGUAGCGGUGAAAUGCUUAGAUAUGACAUAGAACACCAAUUACGAAGGCAGCUUACUACACAAUCAUUGACACUGAGGCACGAAAGCGUGGGUAGCGAACA